UGCGGCUCCGGUUGCGGUUCCCGCAGCGAAGCGAGCGCGCCAGGCGAGGCCACGCAGCGGCCGCGGCUGGCGCGAGGGGCCCGGGGCCCAGCAGGGAUGCGUCUGUUUCUUUGCUUCCUACUGUAGAGCAGUCGCCCCGGGGGCUGGGACGCCGUUAGUCCCCAGGAACUGUUGUGGAAGGAUGGUGUCACUCCAGCUCUGAAGACCCAGAAGAUACCCAGGCUCCAUGCCCCAGAGACCUGCAUGAGGAAUGGGCAGGCAGACUUUGCCACCAAAACCACUGAGCUGAGGGGCAAGCAUGAAGAGAAACUUCAGCUAUUGUUCCCUAAGAGUCCAGUGACUGAGGUGAAGAGAGAGCACUGCUUGAAGAGCACUGCGGAAGUGGUUCCAAAAGUCCUGAAGCAAGAGCUGACCAACCAUGGCAAGGACCCGCUGCAGGUUUGUUCUGGAAGGAUGACAUCACCCAGAAUGUGCUGACCCAGAAGAUGGAGCACGUCAGCAUACUCCACCCCCAAGAUCCCUGUCUGAGGGAUGGGCAGGGGGCCUUUCCCACCAAAACCACUGGGGUGAGGUGCAUGAGGUCUAUGGUCAGUCCAUGCUGUCUGGCGGACAGACAGAGCAGGGAGAGAACAGGUAUUAAAACUGCAGGCCUUCUUUGAGCUGCCCCCACUGUGAGCCACAACCUUGUCACUGACUGAGACCUUGUGAGAAGGCUCUCUGCCCCACUGCCCUCUCCAUUGCCCUCCAGAGGGGGCAGUUCUAGGACGACCCAAUUCUGGAUCAUUAAAGUGGA